rnacentral:lncRNA from 1 species
GAGGCUACGUUCGUCCUUGUCAGAGGUCGGCUGUGUGCCUCCUCACAACCUAGCUGUGCCAUCUCCAAAAUGCGAUAAGGACCGGUAUUUGCUCAGGCAGUGGCUCCAGAUACCAGUUAAUGUACACCCGGUGCAUUCAAGGCUGUAGAACUGGAACACAGGGCGCUAAACCUACCCGGAGAAGACUGUAAACAGUAAGUGCAAAAAUUAUGUGUGGAAUUCUAUACACCGUUGAAAUACGAGAUCCAGCUUUGA